AUUUCUGGACAAUAUCCUAACAGAAAAGAAUUAAAAAGAAAAUGAGAAGCACUGCAGCGCACCCUAUUGCUGAGGGCGUCGUUGAUAUCAUCGUCUUCGCUUUUGGGAUAAGUUUAGAUCUGUUAAUGCAGGCUAAAUGGAUAGUGCCAUAAUGGGGAAGAGGAUCUUAUGAACUAACAGGGCGCGACACGCGAGUUCCACAGUAUCAGAGGAAUCCGCUGUCGACAUGGAACAAAACUAUUGUUGUCAUCCAAACAUACCAUCAGCUUGUGUCUUGUGAGCACUCUCAAAGCAAUGCUUCCUACUUCUCAUGGCCCACCUCCAGACGAUUGAAUGGAUCUUCUGAACAUACGGGGAAGCAAGCAACCAGUUUAAUCGAGCUGAUAACAACUGUGGCAUGUCAUAGCCAGAUCUUGCUCUGUGAUAGUCCCGGCACUGCAAUUGGGUUUCGAGUCUGCAAGGGUGCAUUGACAGAUAUACCUGCUAUUCUUGUUUUUGUUGCCCGUAAAGCUCGUAAGUGGUGACUCAACCACAUCCAGUCUUUACCAUCUUCCCUCGAGGGACCAGGAGGCGUAUGGUGUGAUGUAGACGUCGUUGACCUCUCAUAAUUUGGUGCUUCUAAAGAACUAGUAUACACUGAGCUUGUUCGGGUUACGAGGAAGCGAUCUGUGUGUUGGUUCAGGUUCCCAGGGACAGGCCCUGAAGCGAAGGACGGGGAACGAGCAGAAUCAAUGUGACUGCGACUGUGAAGGGUGCAGGCGAGAUUAUUUUCUUGUUGCGGGUGAAAACCAACAAACCAUUCACCUUGAAGGGAAUAGUGGGAUAUUCACCCUAUUGACUGGCCAGAAAGAUGAGAAGCCAAGGCCUAUUGAGAUCAUAUGUGGUGAAACAGCAAAUCAUGGGCAGUUGAAGCUGAAAGUUGGCCAACCUCCUGAGAAUUGGACAAGUGGAGUUGAUCUUGGUGGUCUUCUUAAUGUUCUGAUAACAACCAGUGAAGGACUUCAAGAAGUAGUGCAAGAGCUAAUAAAUGCAUUAGCAGCAGUUGCUGAUCUUGCAGAAGGAACAUUACCUAAGGGUAUAAAGGAAGAUAUAUAUGAGCCUUUGGGUUUCAACCUGCAACAAAUCCUCAAAGAAGAUGAACCUGUUUAGGGGUGAACCACCCCUUUGUGCAUAAUGAGACGUGGUCGAGACGGCACCGGCCAAUAUAGAAGAACAUCAGUUCAUUCCCAACCUCAUCAAUGGCCCCUAUGCACAAAAAAGAUUCAAGAGAAUACCCCUGAAUCAAAUAAUCUAUCAGCACCAAGGAAUGGCUCGGAUGAAGACCUCAGUUCUGCAUUGCACUUUGGAGAUAGUGAACCAAGACAAGGCGUUCAAAGUCUUCCAUCAUUAUCGAAGAAGCAAAAUAAUAUAAAGUGCUUACAGUUGCAGGAAAUUUGAGCCUUCUCAUUUUGUUAUCCAAAGCCAUCUUUUCUACAUUAUUUUGUUGAAUAAUCAAUGAGUUCAAAUGAGCUUCUCUUUCCAAGAGCAGACUGCCUGUGCCUUGGAGAGUAUGAAUUCUGAAUAUAAGUAGCCAGAUUUUAUAAAUAGAGGGGCUGGACAGUGUUGCACCAGGGGAUGCUGUUUCCUAGUUUUAUCUUUUUCCUUCUUUACAACUCGGUGUGGAGACUUGUAGGUCAUACUUAACGAUGACUUGCAGGAAAUGGUGCAUGGGACAUAAUCUGGCCUGAUCCCUUUACAUCUCGAGGAUGGUUAAAUCUUGAAAAAGCUGUGAUUUGUAAAGAUGAGAGACCUCUCAGGUUUCAAUUUCUUGUGCUACUGUUUAACAGGUAAACUCCCAUUUUCACUGCUGGUCUUGUGAUAUUCAACUAUAUGCCUACCUGCAAUAGGAGAAAAGUUCUUAAAAAUUAAAGUGAAGAAGCUUUUGGUCCA